AACGAACGCUGGCGGCAUGCCUAACACAUGCAAGUCGAACGAUGCCUUCGGGCAUAGUGGCGCACGGGUGCGUAACGCGUGGGAAUCUGACUUUCGGUUCGGAAUACCUCAGGGAAACUUGAGAUAAUACCGGAUAACGUCGCAAGACCAAAGAUUUAUCACCGAAAGAUGAGCCCGCGUAGGAUUAGCUAGUUGGUGAGGUAAAGGCUCACCAAGGCGACGAUCCUUAGCUGGUCUGAGAGGAUGGUCAGCCACACUGGGACUGAGACACGGCCCAGACUCCUACGGGAGGCGGCAGUGGGGAAUAUUGGACAAUGGGCGAAAGCCUGAUCCAGCAAUGCCGCGUGAGUGAUGAAGGCCUUAGGGUUGUAAAGCUCUUUUACCCAGGAAGAUAAUGACGGUACCGAGAGAAUAAGCCCCGGCUAACUCCGUG
rnacentral:rRNA from 1 species